CCGGCCCGGCCCUCAGCCCCCGGCCCGGCCCUCAGCCCCCGCCGGCCCUCAGCCCCCGGCCCGCGCUCCCCGCCCCGCCGAGCCGUGCCUCAGCCUUUCCGCGGCCUCCCGGCUGCUGCUCCGGCUCACCUCUGCCCCCCACCUACCCUCAGCCAUUCUGCCUCCCCUCAGCCUUCUCCAUCUCCUCUCAGCGUCUCCUUCCCUACCUCCCCUUAGCCAGCCAUCCCGCCUCUCCUUAGCCUUCCUCCCCUCCUGUCGGCCUUCCCCAUCCCCUGGUGUCCCCCAGGCAGUCUCUGUGCCUCCCUCUGCCAUCCAGCUGACUCUGCACGCUGUCCCCAAAUCUCCCAGGAACGAGGAAGGUUCCCUGGCCACUGUAGCCCCCAGGGAGAUCCCUUCAUCUCAGCCACCAGCACGUCUUCAUGGUGCUCUUUCUCUCUAAACCUUGGACUGGAUGACCCACUGUGGUCCCUUCCAAUUUAGGAUUGCUUCUGUGAUUCUCUGCUGUCUAUUUCCCAGUGCAGAGCCUGUCCAAAUACAUUAUGCAGGUCAAGGGUGCCACAUCCCACACUUGAUGGCCUCUCAACUGCACAAACAGCCAGCAGAGAUCCCAAGACCACCAAGACCACCAUUCCAACCUACAUGUCACAGCACUCUGUGUGAUGUUCUCUACAUCAGGCUGGAGAAAGCAGGAGCCAGGAGACCCUCCAAGCUGCUCCAAGGGAAGCAUCCCGGCACAGGACCUUGGAAGAUCUACAUGCCAGUGCAGAAAUGGCCAGGAUUCUGCCUCUGCUGUCUGCUGGAGUCUGUAAAAUCCUUCCUGUCAGAGAUAACUAAUCCUGGGGCCUUUACAACACCUCUCCUGAAAAGCACAUUUCAUUCCUCUGUCUCCUCCUGCCUUCCAAGUGCAUGAGAUUGCAAUAGGUAUUUCCAAAAAUAUUCCCCAUGAGAGCCGACACUGGACUCCCUUAAAACCUAAACACCAUCACCCCUCCUUUCCCAAGACACAAGUGAGCACUAUGCUCUAUUAUCUCUACACCCACUAAAUCUUUCUGAAAUAAAGAAUAAACAUUUCCACCACACAUAGUGUAAGUGUGUGUGCCAAGCUGC